UUUAGUUGUCACUGUGUUAACCACAACCAACAUGCUGGAUCUCUGUUUAGGGGUCAGUUCUCUAAAAUGAGACUCUCUGGGGAACAUGACACCAAAGCUAAGAGCCCAAUCAAGCAGGAGAGACCAGCCUCCCCUGUACCCAGCUGUGUGUCCAUGAAGAGUGACCGGUCUAUGCUUCAACCUAUACUGUUUAGAGAGGGAUACUUUUCUACUGAACAAAGAAACCAACAGGAGAGAUCAGAGUCAGAGAUUCUCAGUGGUCAGUCUUCCCAGAGUCAUCAAACAGACCUGGACUCCAUAUUCAGUGUAUGUGGUCCUGUUAUGUACAUUUGUUUUUGU